CCCAAAAUGUCUAACCAACAGCUGUAUUUACCACUUGACGCUGUGGCCUACGAUGGGAUAGUCGUAAAUAUACCAACCACUCUACAAGCGACGUGAUCUUCGAAGAAGAUUAUGCAUGAAGGUUCAAGAAAAACCACUAUUUAACCAGCGAUGUGAAUCAUCAAUCAACGGAACACGUAUAGAUAUUAUUUUUAAUUAUUUGAUGUUUUCCUGAGAACGAUGUGGUCGUUUUUAUUGCCGUCAAUCUCCUCGGGGUGACUUGCGGCUCGCGCGCAUCAAUUCGAUGCGUAGCGACCGGAAGUUAGGGAAAGGAGGGAGGCCAACAUCGGGGGGUGAGCCGAUCGAUCAAGAGUCAUUUACUACCAGUUGUGCUUUUACCUUUUGCGAUUUCCAUUUGUGGGCUGACAAUGAGUGACGGAUGGGCAGUUCGUAUUUGAGGAACGCUGUGGAGCUAAGGGAUGUAACUGGAGGAUAACACAUUCUGGCAUAAAGUCUACACAUAGAACUAACAGAUAACUUUUUAAUUAGUUAAUUUCUCAGCGAGAAAGUUGCGAAAUAAUUUGAAUAGAAAUUGUGAAGAUCUUUUAGACAAGAGAGUCUGACAAACACUUGUUUCAGCGAUGCAUUUUAUUUUCCAUAGGAAGUCAGUUGUUUGACACUUUUUCAUCGAUGAAGGAAAUUAGAAUAAGAAGGAUGAGUUAUCGGUCACGUUGAAUAUAUGUUAUGGAUACAUGGCUGAGUUCAAUUUGAGAGUUAGAAGCCAAACCGAGGCAGAUAAUUAUUUUCACUUUUUUUGGAGCCAAAAAUUGGUGGGAACAACCUGAACUCUGAUGACCUCGCGUAUACCGACCAUCGUAAUUAUGUGUCAUUACCCGACAGCCAUGCAAUGGACGAAUUUAAAACGCGUUUCAUACUUGAUAGAAAGAUAUGUAUAUAUUCAUACACUACAUUCAUAAUUUUAAACUAAUAAUUCUUAUACUCAUAGCUGCGAAACGGAUUUCAGGUAUUGCAAAAAAUCCAAUAGCUCGCACUAGGACAGAUCUUUUUCCCGAAAUUCUUCGAGGAGCAUUUAUUAUAAACGAGAAUUUGGAUUUCAAAAUGCUUGGACAAACUCGCCUCAUAAUUCGUUCUAUUGCCUGCAAAUAAAUCGAAUGACAGCAUAGAACAGCUGUAGUUAUCAAGAGAUGGAUCGUUGGCUCUGAAGUCGAUUCCACCAGGAAGAGAUUGUAUCAGUGAAGUCCUGAGUACGUUGAUGCCGUGAACUAUAACGAAACAGCCGCAAUCAACACUGAUAAUAACGAUUAAUUGCCUCGAUAGAUCGAGGGACAAGUGUCUGACGAGGGAAGGUUGAAAUCAGUCAUAAUUAUGCCAACCUACAACUCUGCGAAUCCAUGUAAAUUAUAAGGUAUGCCGUUAAACCAGGUGUGAGGUGGUAAAGUAGCAUCCCCAUGUGAAGAAGUGAUGGUUUUUAUGGCGCAUCUAUAGUGUCCCGCCUAGCACAUAUUAUCAUGAACAUUUCAUCAGUAUCUCCAUUUUUUAUCGUCUCUAAGGAAGAUCAAAGACGUAAACUCAAGCGAACGAAUAGGUGCGAAAUAAAAUCGUGAGGUAAAAUCAA